rnacentral:sRNA from 1 species
ACACCCUGAGGUUCUGGAUGGAUAUGAAUUCUGGGGAGACACUAUUCAACCCAGUAUACUUUUUGCCUUUCUUCCUUAGAGCUCCAGCUAAUCCAGAUGCAACAUUGACGAAUUAGUGCCGGAAUGAGUAUCAGCACUUGACCUGCAAAUCCAAGAGACACAUCUUUGGAAGAUAAGAGAGCUUCUUCAAGACCAAAAAAGGAGACGGCAUGAUACCCAUGUAGGGAAUUCCCCAAAGCAGGGCUUGCCAUACCUGGACCCCGAGGAGCCUGCUUGCUGGAAAGGCUUUCCUGUCUGAUGUGCAAGAGGCAGAAUGCCAAACUGACUCUUCAAGGGGCAACUGCAGGGGCUCGAGACCAGCCAGCAGUAUCUCAUCCUUCGAUACAGGGCAUAUACUGUACAGUCCUUUUUCUAGAAGUGAGACGUACAAGAUUACUCUACAAGAGGAAGAUUCCAGGGGCUCAAAAACGCAAAGGUUUG